rnacentral:ncRNA from 1 species
UAAUAACAAAUAUUCAAACAAGAACUUUGAAGGCCGAAGUGGAGAAGGGUUCCACGUGAACAGCUGUUGAACAUGGGUCAGUCGGUCCUAAGAGAUAGGCGAGCGCCGUUCCGAAGGGGCGGGUGGUGGCUUCUGUUGCCCUCAGCCGAUCGAAAGAGAGUCAGAUUCCCGAAUCUGGAGUGGUGGAGAUGGGCACCACGAGGCGUCCAGUGUGGUUACGCAACCAAUCCCAGGGAAGCCAGCAGGAGCCCCAGGAAGAGGUGGGUUUUUCUUUUUUUUUUUUUUUUUGUGCUGAGGGCAGGAUGCCCUGGAAUGGGUUCGCCCUGAGAGAGGGGCCUGAGCCUUGGAAAGCGUUGCAGUUCUGGUGGUGUCUGGUAAUCUCUUGCUGGCCCUUGAAAGUCCGGGGGAGAGGGUGUAAAUCUCGCACUGGGCCAUACCCAUAUCUGCAGCAUCGUCUCCCAAGUGAAUAGCCUCUGGCAUGUAAAAAUGGGUAGGCAACCUCCAACAUGGGUGCCAGAGUGUGGUACUCAAAGGCAUUUUGCUUGACACAUGUGCCUCAGGGUGGACAGCGGUUAAGGGGCCAGGGCUGCACUGCCACAACAAGGAUUGCGCCCCUCGUGGCUUCCCUACCACCAUCUGUCCCUGGCACCAACAUCUUACAAGUCAAGGUCGUGGGUGUUUUUGGUACUCUGCCCAAAAAUGUUGCUGACC